CGAGGAUGACGCUGUGUCAAGCUGUGUGUUUUGCAGGAGCCAUACUUCUUAACAUAGCAGGCUCACUUUGCCAAUUAGAUGUGGUGUGGCCAGGCUCCUCUCAACACCAAGAUUGUUGGAGGACAAGGUGCAUGUUCAGGGGUCUUGGCCGUGGCAAGCGAGCCUUCACAGAAUUACAUCUGGAAGUCAUUUCUGUGGUGGGAGUUUGAUCAAUAAAGACUGGGUUUUGUCUGCAGC